rnacentral:rRNA from 1 species
CCUACGGGAGGCAGCAGUAGGGAAUCUUCCACAAUGGGCGAAAGCCUGAUGGAGCAACGCCGCGUGGGUGAAGAAGGUCUUCGGAUCGUAAAACCCUGUUGUUAGAGAAGAAAGUGCGUGAGAGUAACUGUUCACGUUUCGACGGUAUCUAACCAGAAAGCCACGGCUAACUACGUGCCAGCAGUCGCGGUAAUACGUAGGUGGCAAGCGUUAUCCGGAUUUAUUGGGCGUAAAGGGAACGCAGGCGGUCUUUUAAGUCUGAUGUUAAAGCCUUCGGCUUAACCGGAGUAGUGCAUUGGAAACUGGGAGACUUGAGGGCAGAAGAGGAGAGUGGAACUCCAGGUGUAGCGGUGAAAGGCGUAGAGAUAUGGAAGAACACCAGUGGCGAAAGCGGCUCUCUGGUCUGUAACUGACGCGGAGGUUCGAAAGCGUGGGUAGCAAACAGGAUUAGAUACCCCGGUAGUC